UACGUAGGGUGCGAGCGUUGUCCGGAAUUAUUGGGCGUAAAGAGCUUGUAGGCGGUUUGUCGCGUCUGCCGUGAAAUUUCGGGGCUCAACCCCGAACUUGCGGUGGGUACGGGCAGACUAGAGUGUGGUAGGGGAGACUGGAAUUCCUGGUGUAGCGGUGAAAUGCGCAGAUAUCAGGAGGAACACCGAUGGCGAAGGCAGGUCUCUGGGCCACGACUGACGCUGAGUGAGCGAAAGCCAGGGGAGCAAACGGG
rnacentral:rRNA from 1 species